AGAGUUUGAUCAUGGCUCAGGAUGAACGCUAGCGGCAGGCCUAAUACAUGCAAGUCGAGGGGUAAGGUUUACUUCGGUAAACACACGACCGGCGCACGGGUGAGUAACGCGUAUGCAACCUACCUAUAACUGGGAGAUAGCCCCGAGAAAUCGGGAUUAAUACCCCAUAAUAAUACUUUUUGGCAUCAUUUAGUAUUUAAAGCUCCGGCGGUUAUAGAUGGGCAUGCGUGACAUUAGUUAGUUGGUGAGGUAACGGCUCACCAAGACCACGAUGUCUAGGGGUUCUGAGAGGAAGAUCCCCCACACUGGUACUGAGACACGGACCAGACUCCUACGGGAGGCAGCAGUAAGGAAUAUUGCGCAAUGGAGGAAACUCUGACGCAGCCAUGCCGCGUGAAGGAUGACGGCCUUAUGGGUUGUAAACUUCUUUUGUUAGGGAAUAAACCUCCACUCGUGAGUGGAGCUGAAGGUACCUAAAGAAUAAGCACCGGCUAACUCCGUGCCAGCAGCCGCGGUAAUACGGAGGGUGCAAGCGUUAUCCGGAUUCAUUGGGUUUAAAGGGUGCGCAGGCGGACUUUUAAGUCAGUGGUGAAAUCCCGGGGCUCAACCCCGGAACUGCCAUUGAUACUGGAAGUCUUGAAUUUGGUUGAAGUGGGCGGAAUGU
rnacentral:rRNA from 1 species